rnacentral:rRNA from 1 species
AUUGAACGCUGGCGGCAUGCUUUACACAUGCAAGUCGAACGGUAACAGGCCGCAAGGUGCUGACGAGUGGCGAACGGGUGAGUAAUGCAUCGGAACGUGCCCAGUCGUGGGGGAUAACGCAGCGAAAGCUGCGCUAAUACCGCAUACGAUCUAUGGAUGAAAGCGGGGGACCGUAAGGCCUCGCGCGAUUGGAGCGGCCGAUGUCAGAUUAGGUAGUUGGUGGGGUAAAGGCCUACCAAGCCGACGAUCUGUAGCUGGUCUGAGAGGACGACCAGCCACACUGGGACUGAGACACGGCCCAGACUCCUACGGGAGGCAGCAGUGGGGAAUUUUGGACAAUGGGCGCAAGCCUGAUCCAGCAAUGCCGCGUGCAGGAAGAAGGCCUUCGGGUUGUAAACUGCUUUUGUACGGAACGAAACGGUCUGGGUUAAUACCCUGGGCUAAUGACGGUACCGUAAGAAUAAGCACCGGCUAACUACGUGCCAGCCGCCGCAGUAACAC